rnacentral:lncRNA from 1 species
GCAGCCCGACGGGGAGCGCGGCCAGCGUUGAGGAUGCCCUGUAUCCGGUCGGCGAGGUCUCUCAGGUGCGCCAGCUGGUCCUUGAUGGGGUCAAUAUGAUGGUCCUGUUCCUGCCCUAGCACUGCCGACACGGCAAGCUGGCGCAGCGCAGCGACGAUGGUGCGCAGCUCCUUCUCCAAGAAGGCGAGGGCACGCUGGUCGCCAUCCUCAACUGUGAUGUGCCCAGGACGGACCUUCGAACGAGAUACCAACUCAGAGAUCCUUCCAGGCAAGCAGGCACAAAGCCAGCGGUAGGGCUAGGGGGGCUCCAGCCCCCCCUACCGCUGCUGGCCUAGUGAAAUUUCUAGUGUUUUUCUUUUAAUUUUAGACAUAAAUUUAUAAAGUAGGGUGGGCUGAGAACUUUUUUUUUUUAGAUAUAUUUUGUGAAUUUCAUUAUUGGUCUAUAUUUUUAAUCUAAGACUACUUUAAACUAAUAUAUUUUUUUAUUACGAGGGAUAAUAGUAGAGCUAGGUCGAUGUAGAAUUUUUGUUCAGCUCCCCCUAAAUUUUUUUCUGGCUUCGUCCCUGCAGGCAAGGGAUCCAUCAGCUCCAGUACCUUCAUCAUUUCCUCCUUCACCACCACCGCUGCCUUCCUUGCCGCUGCAGUCUCCCUCUUUUGCUGGAGCUCGCGUGCUUUCGCUCGCACCCGAG